rnacentral:rRNA from 1 species
ACUCAAAUGAAUUGACGGGGACCCGCACAAGCGGUGGAACAUGUGGUUUAAUUCGAGGCAACGCGAAGAACCUUACCAGGACUUGACUUGCCCUCUGUGGGAACGAGAGAUCGAUCCCUUCACCUCGGGUGGGAGGAGCACAGGUGCUGCAUGGCUGUCGUCAGCUCGUGUCGUGAGAUGUUGGGUUAAGUCCCGCAACGAGCGCAACCCUCAUCCCUUGUUGCUACCAGGUAAUGCUGGGCACUCUAGGGAAACUGCCGGUGAUAAGCCGGAGGAAGGUGGGGAUGACGUCAAGUCCUCAUGGCCCUUACGUCCUGGGCUACACACGUGUUACAAUGGCAGUGACAAUGGGCUGCUACCCUGCGAGGGGUUGCGAAUCCCAAAAAGCUGCCUCAGUUCGGAUUGUACUCUGCAACUCGAGUACAUGAAGCUGGAAUCGCUAGUAAUCGCGCAUCAGCUCGGCGCGGUGAAUACGUUCCCGGGUCUUGCACACACCGCCCGU